AUUGCUUCUCUGCCCUUUGGCUAAGAUCAAGUGUAUUAUCUGUUCUUAUCAGAGCAGAGAGCCAUUUGGUCUGCCAUUUGCAUCGUGCAUGCGAUCUUAAUCCUUUUGACGGCGAUUGAGCAGGUCAGCUGAGUCCACUGCUCUCAAAGUCAGUAAGGAGGAACAAGAGCUGUUUUUACGGCUACCUAAU